GGCAGGCUUAACACAUGCAAGUCGAGGGGCAGCGCGGGUAGCAAUACCUGGCGGCGACCGGCAAACGGGUGCGGAACACGUACAGAAUCUACCCUUAUCUGGGGCAUAGCCCGAAGAAAUUCGGAUUAACUCCCCAUAAUAUAAUUGGAAGGCAUCUUUUGAUUAUUAAAAAUUUAUUGGAUAGGGAUGACUGUGCGUCCCAUUAGCUAGUUGGUAGGGUAACGGCCUACCAAGGCGACGAUGGGUAGCUGGUGUGAGAGCACGACCAGCCACACGGGCACUGAGACACGGGCCCGACUCCUACGGGAGGCAGCAGUGAGGAAUAUUGGUCAAUGGACGCAAGUCUGAACCAGCCAUGCCGCGUGAAGGAUGAAGGCCUUCUGGGUUGUAAACUUCUUUUAUGUGGGAAGAAAACUAAGAUUUCUAUUUUAGCCGACGGUACCAUAGGAAUAAGCACCGGCUAACUCCGUGCCAGCAGCCGCGGUAAUACGGAGGGUGCAAGCGUUAUCCGGAUUUACUGGGUUUAAAGGGUGUGUAGGCGGGUAUUUAAGUCAGUGGUGAAAUCUCCGAGCUCAACUUGGAAACUGCCAUUGAUACUAUUUAUCU
rnacentral:rRNA from 1 species